rnacentral:rRNA from 1 species
UCGAGCGAUUCUCUUCGGAGAAGAGCGGCGGACGGGUGAGUAACGUGUGGGUAACCUGCCUCAUACACAUGGAUAACAUACCGAAAGGUAUGCUAAUACAAGAUAACAUAAGAGAUUCGCAUGGGUUUCUUAUCAAAGCUCCGGCGGUAUGAGAUGGACCCGCGUCUGAUUAGCUAGUUGGUAAGGUAACGGCUUACCAAGGCGACGAUCAGUAGCCGACCUGAGAGGGUGAUCGGCCACAUUGGAACUGAGACACGGUCCAAACUCCUACGGGAGGCAGCAGUGGGGAAUAUUGCACAAUGGGCGAAAGCCUGAUGCAGCAACGCCGCGUGAGUGAUGAAGGCCUUCGGGUCGUAAAACUCUGUCCUCAAGGAAGAUAAUGACGGUACUUGAGGAGGAAGCCCCGGCUAACUACGUGCCAGCAGCCGCGGUAAUACGUAGGGGGCUAGCGUUAUCCGGAUUUACUGGGCGUAAAGGGUGCGUAGGUGGUUUCUUAAGUCAGGAGUGAAAGGCUACGGCUCAACCGUAGUAAGCUCUUGAAACUGGGAAACUUGAGUGCAGGAGAGGAAAGUGGAAUUCCUAGUGUAGCGGUGAAAUGCGUAGAUAUUAGGAGGAACACCAGUAGCGAAGGCGGCUUUCUGGACUGUAACUGACACUGAGGCACGAAAGCGUGGGGAGCAAACAGGAUUAGAUACCCUGGUAGUCCACGCCGUANACGAUGAGUACUAGGUGUCGGGGGUUACCCCCCUCGGUGCCGNAGCUAACGCAUUAAGUACUCCGCCUGGGGAGUACGCUCGCAAG